UGGUGAAGUGACAAGUACAAUUAAAGGU
rnacentral:piRNA from 1 species